CGAUUGAACGCUGGCGGCAGGCCUAACACAUGCAAGUCGAGCGGCAGCACGGGUACUUGUACCUGGUGGCGAGCGGCGGACGGGUGAGUAAUGCCUAGGAAUCUGCCUGAUAGUGGGGGAUAACGUUCGGAAACGGACGCUAAUACCGCAUACGUCCUACGGGGGAAAGUGGGGGAUCUUCGGACCUCACGCUAUCAGAUGAGCCUAGGUCGGAUUAGCUAGUUGGUAGGGUAAAGCCUACCAAGGCUACGAUCCGUAACUGGUCUGAGAGGAUGAUCAGUCACACUGGAACUGAGACACGGUCCAGACUCCUACGGGAGGCAGCGAGUGGGAAUAUGGACAAGUGGACGAAGCUGAUUCAGCACUCCGCGUGUGCGAUGAACGGUCCUUGGUAGUAAGCUACGUUU
rnacentral:rRNA from 1 species